UACGUGGUCCGGGACACACUGCCAUGGAACACUACCGCCACCGAGGGUACCGCGAAUUUCUUGACUAGACCACAGCGGUGGAGUCGACCUGGUCGCAUUUUGAGAGGGUCGUUCAGUGCCAUUCCUAUGGAAAAUGAAAAAUCACGGUGGAGUUAACAGUGGAAUUGGAGAACACGUGACAAUCAAAAAUAUUGUACCAUAAAUAAUAUUAUAUUUAUAUGUAUGAAUUUAUAUUAUUAUUAUACUCGCUGGUGUACUUUUUUUUUUUUAUGUCCUUAAAGUCUCUAUACCAUCGAAUAAAGUUAGGUGGAUCGUUU